AUGGCACAGCAAGGUGAGUUUCUGAUUGGACUCCUCAAUGAACUAGCCUGUUGGGCUUUGGCACCUGGAGCAGAGUCAUUCUUCAGGUCCCUUCUGUUAGGAAGGAUUUGGAUGCGCUCCUUGUUUGAGUGCUCCAAAUAUGAAAACCAAGCAGAUAGCUGUACCUUUGAACUUCCUCUUACUUGGAGGACUUUCAGUGUUUCUUCUAUCUGCAGGAAUGUCCUCAGGAGGCUUGGAGCCUUCAUGCUGGUCAAUCUUCCCAAGAAGAAAGGUGUAUUGAGACUUCAAAUGCUUCUAGUUUGUCUUCAGCUGAGUGUAAUCGUCAAUUUAUUCUUACUGUUUUCUAUAAACCUAUGUCUGUGGUAGUAAGAAAGAAGGUAGCUACAACAGAAAUAUGUAAUAGAAUAAUGUCCGUACUCCGUAACAUGCUAUUUCUUAUAUGCUGACAUGCUAUUGUGGCUAUUGUGAUGUUGCAGCUGCAACCGAAACAGUAGCCAGCUGAACAUGCUGACAUGUUAAUGCGGGUGGUCAAGGCUCAGGAUUCAGAGCAGAAGAUACACAUAAAUACUGGUGAAUGAUGCCAUCGACGAUGAUGAAAUGAUCAAACGAUGGAUGAUGCCAUCGAUGAAAGAUGGAAUGGAACUCAAAUUUGGGUGGUCGCACAAGUGUGGAGACUUGAAUUUAUAUAUACUUAGUUAGUCUCAAUGUUAGCAUAAAUAGUUGAUGAGCAAGUUUUCCCAUUGUAUUUUAGUUUGAAUUUAGAGUACAUUUAUGUAAGAGUUAUUUGACAAUGCUUAUUUAUGAGAUAUUGA
rnacentral:lncRNA from 1 species